rnacentral:rRNA from 1 species
CCUACGGGGGGCUGCAGUGGGGAAUAUUGGACAAUGGGGGGAACCCUGAUCCAGCCAUGCCGCGUGUGUGAAGAAGGCCCUCGGGUUGUAAAGCACUUUCAGUGAGGAAGAACGCCUGGUGGUUAAUACCCAUCAGGAAAGACAUCACUCACAGAAGAAGCACCGGCUAACUCCGUGCCAGCAGCCGCGGUAAUACGGAGGGUGCGAGCGUUAAUCGGAAUUACUGGGCGUAAAGCGCGCGUAGGUGGCUUGAUAAGCCGGUUGUGAAAGCCCCGGGCUCAACCUGGGAACGGCAUCCGGAACUGUGAAGCUAGAGUGCAGGAGAGGAAGGUAGAAUUCCCGGUGUAGCGGUGAAAUGCGUAGAGCUCGGGAGGAAUACCAGUGGCGAAGGCGGCCUUCUGGACUGACACUGACACUGAGGUGCGAAAGCGUGGGUAGCAAACAGGAUUAGAUACCCGGGUAGUC